CACGUAGGGGACGAGCGUUGUCCGGAUUCAUUGGGCGUAAAGCGCGCGUAGGCGGCUCGGAAAGUCGGUCGUGAAAUGCCGGGGCUCAACCCCGGGACUGCGUCCGAUACUCCCGAGCUGGAGGCAGGUAGGGGAGAUCGGAAUUCCUGGUGUAGCGGUGAAAUGCGCAGAUAUCAGGAGGAACACCGGUGGCGAAGGCGGUUCUCUGGGCAUGACCUGACGCUGAGGAGCGAAAGUGUGGGGAGCAAACAGG
rnacentral:rRNA from 1 species